GACGGAGGGUGCAAGCGUUGUUCGGAUUGACUGGGCGUAAAGGGCGUGUAGGCGGUUGGUCAAGUCUGGUGUGAAAGCCCGGGCUUAACCCGGAAGUGCAUUGGAACUAGCCAGCUAGAGCGCGAGAGAGGAGGUGGAAGUUCCUGGUGUAGCGGUGAAAUGCGUAGAUAUCAGGAGGAACACCGGCGGCGAAGGCGGCCUCUGGCUCGUGCUGACGCUGAACGCGAAAGCGUGGGAGCAACAGG
rnacentral:rRNA from 1 species